rnacentral:rRNA from 1 species
AGUGAACGCUGGCGGCAUGCCUAACACAUGCAAGUCGAACGACCGCACCGUAAGCUUUCUCCCUUACGGGUGGCGGCUGACGGACGGGUGACACGUGCAUCGCCUACCUCUUAGACUGGGGUGAUAACGGCGAACCAGAUCUACUACCGCAUCAUAUUUCCAACCGCUGGAUGCAAGGGAUCAAGACGGUUUUGCUGUCACUUAUAGCUGAUUCCGGGCUGCAUUAUCUAGUUGGUAAGGUAACGGCAUACCAAGGCUACGAUGCGUAGCCGAUCUGAGAGGGUGAUCGGCCACACUGGAACUGAGACACGGUCAAGACUCCUACGGGAGGCAGCAGUAGGGAAUAUUGCGCAAUGGGCGAAAGCCUGACGCAGCAACACCGCGUGAGUGAUGAAGGCCUUCGGAUCGUAAAACUCUGUUAUUAGGGAAGAAAAUAAGUGUAAGUAACUGUGGACGUUUUGACGGUACCCAAGCAGAAAGCCACGGCUAACUUCGUG